GCUGGGUGUGGUGGCACGCACCUGUAGUCCCAGCUACUUGGAGGCUGAGGCAGGAGAAUCGCUUGAACCCAGGAGGCGGAGGUUGCAGUGAGCUGAGAUUGUGCCACUGCACUCCAUCCUGGGCGACAGAGCGAGACUCCGUCUCAA
rfam:Homo sapiens chromosome 1, GRCh38 reference primary assembly.